AAUUUUUUUUUCAAGAAAAAAGUAUAAAUAAAACACAAAAAUUGAACAUAUAAAAUGUUUUAAAUAUAUAAAUUUAUAAAAAAAUGGCUAAAUAAUGUAAAAGUGUUUUAUUUUUUAUAUGUAAAAAAAUAGCAAUAAAAUGCUUUAAGAGUAAGCAAAUAAGGAAAUAUUUCUUUUAUGUGUGUGUGUCGCUGUGUUUUGUUUUGAAAGUGUAAUAAUAAUAAAAAUAAAUUUUUAUAAUUUUACAUAUUAAUAGUGAUAAUGGAUGCAAUUUUUAUAACCAGUUAUAAUUGGAAAUUAUUACAUUUGCAGCCAAAAGAUUUGUGGAUUUUAACGUUUAUUUGAAAAAGUGUAAAUUGUGUUUGCAAAUUAAGAGAAAAGGAGCUGCCAGAUUUUUUUAUAUAAAGAGUUAAAGAGCAGAAAUCUUAUUAUAUUUUAAAGGAAAUAUUAUAUUGUAAAGUGAUCAUGUGUUUUAGAUGAUUCAAAAGUUUGUUGUAUUUUUUUUUUAAUAAAAUUUGUGCCACUUUUAUUGUGUGCACUUGUUGUGGGGCUUGGAAAGGCUGUUCACUUAAUUUUGGAUUACAUGGAGCUUUUCUUUGGAAUGUAUUUGUUAGAUGAAUAGUGAAUAAAAGGAAUUCAUUUUGCUGCUACUGCAUUCAAGGAAAAAG
rnacentral:lncRNA from 1 species